rnacentral:lncRNA from 1 species
UGGGACUACAGGCGCUCGCCGUCACGCCCGGCUAAUUUUUUUGUGUUUUUAGUAGAGACAGGGUUUCACCGUGUUAGCCAGGAUGGUCUCCAUCUUCUGACCUCGUGAUCCGCCCGCCUCGGCCUCCCAAAGUGCUGGGAUUUCAGACAUGAGCCACCGUGCCCGGCCCGACUUUCUUAAUAUUAGAGAGGAGCAUGGACUGGAUGAAUGACAGAAUAAGACUGACUUGAACAGACGAAACUCAAACUCUGGAAAAGAAGCCAGAUCACUCACUAUUACUAGUGAUAUAAAAAUUGCAGUGCUGGCAUUUGGAGGAUGUAGAGUCUCAGAAUAAUCCACAUCUUUCUACGUGCAGCCUAAGACCCUGACCCUCACCUUGACAGUCACACACAUUUGACACUGAAUGUGUCCAGUAUAUGGUCAUGUGCUGCCUAACAAUGUUUCAGUCAAUGAUGGACCACAUAUAUAAUGGUGCAACCAUAAGGUUAUACUAUGAUAUCUUUUUAUUUUCUAUGUUUAGAUAUGUUUAGAGAUAAAAAUACUUGCAUUACAUUGUAUUAUAACUGUUUACCAUAUUCAGUACAAUAACAUGAUGUUCAGGCUUGUAGCCUAAGAGCAACAGGUGAUACUAUAUAGCUUAGGUGUGUGGUAGGCUAUUCCAUCUAGGCUUGAAAGUACACUCUGAUGUAGAGUGUGUAAAUACACUCUGAUAUUUGUACAAUGAUGAAAUCACCUAAUGACACAUUUCUCAGAGAGUAUCGCCAUUGUUAAGAAACACGUGACUAUAUUACUAAACUUUUAAUGUUGUAUAAAUGGAGCAAUAUGUAAUUAUAAAUAAUUACAAAU